rnacentral:rRNA from 1 species
AUUGAACGCUGGCGGCAUGCCUUACACAUGCAAGUCGAACGGCAGCACGGACUUCGGUCUGGUGGCGAGUGGCGAACGGGUGAGUAAUGCAUCGGAAUGUGCCAUUGAGUGGGGGAUAACGUAGCGAAAGUUGCGCUAAUACCGCAUAUUCUGUGAGCAGGAAAGCAGGGGACCGCAAGGCCUUGCGCUCUUUGAGCGGCCGAUGUCAGAUUAGCUAGUUGGUGAGGUAAAGGCUUACCAAGGCGACGAUCUGUAGCGGGUCUGAGAGGAUGAUCCGCCACACUGGAACUGAGACACGGUCCAGACUCCUACGGGAGGCAGCAGUGGGGAAUUUUGGACAAUGGGGGCAACCCUGAUCCAGCCAUGCCGCGUGAGUGAAGAAGGCCUCGGUUGU